UACGUAGGGCGCAAGCGCUGUCCGGAAUUAUUGGGCGUAAAGAGCUCGUAGGCGGUUUGUCGCGUCUGCUGUGAAAACCUAAGGCUCAACCUUGGGCUUGCAGUGGGUACGGGCAGACUAGAGUGCGGUAGGGGUGACUGGAAUUCCUGGUGUAGCGGUGGAAUGCGCAGAUAUCAGGAGGAACACCGAUGGCGAAGGCAGGUCACUGGGCCGCAACUGACGCUGAGGAGCGAAAGCAUGGGGAGCGAACAGG
rnacentral:rRNA from 1 species